rnacentral:sRNA from 1 species
UGUCUGAGUGUGAGUGUGAGUGUGAGUGUGCGUGUGUGAGGUGCCAUUAAGAAAUGUGUCAAAACAUGUGAGGAAUUAUAUAAGCUAAAAUACGACAACAGCAGGGGGUAAGGAUAGGCAGAGGAUAUGCCAGAAUGCCACAAUGCCAGAAGCAAACAGAAAUUAAAGCCAAGCGGGAGAAACGAGAAAAAAACGCGAAGAGCCAACAGGAAAACCCAACGCAUGACACAAAUUUACAAAAGGUGGUAGAACAAAAAGCGGAAAGCGACGGAAGGCGACGCCGCAGAAGAAGACCUUCUUCCAUGGCGAUUACGACAAGGUGUCUGUGAUAUCGCCCUACGGAUGUUGAGUGGGAUCUUCUGGGACUAUGAGGAUGCAUUAGCUGCCUGCAGCCUGGACGCAUCCCACGCUGUCUGCAAAUAUUAAGGAAGCACAAAGACCUAGCUACCGGCCUCCACCUCAACGACGUCGACCUCAAGUUGAUUUUAAAUUUAUUUGUACUUGGAUGCGAACAACAAGACCUAGAUCUCGGCCUGGAAUGGAAGUAACUCCUGCAUAACGUCCACUAUUGACGCCACAGCACCACAACGUGUUCAUUUGCUGAUUCCAACGUUUAUUUACCAAUUCCGAUCUUGCCCAGGACCAGGACCCAGGACGGCGCUCUCCUUGCUUUAUUCUGUUUAUUUUUCUUGAUUUCGUGAGCAUGUAAAUUUAGUAAUUUAGAAAUGAAAUGAAGCAUGGAGGCCGAAGUAUGUAAAAUUAAGCAACUGAAAACAUACACAUAUUAAAAUCAGGCACGCCUUUUUAUUGGACGUGUUCGGAUCGGUCAGAAAUGUAUCUAAGUUCUUAUAUAUGU